UGGGGAAUCUUGGACAAUGGGGGCAACCCUGAUCCAGCCAUGCCGCGUGAGUGAUGAAGGCCUUAGGGUCGUAAAGCUCUUUCGCCUGUGAAGAUAAUGACGGUAGCAGGUAAAGAAACCCCGGCUAACUCCGUGCCAGCAGCCGCGGUAAUACGGAGGGGGUUAGCGUUGUUCGGAAUUACUGGGCGUAAAGCGCACGUAGGCGGACCAGAAAGUUGGGGGUGAAAUCCCGGGGGCUCAACCCCGGAACUGCCUCCAAAACUAUUGGUCUAGAGUUCGAGAGAGGUGAGUGGAAUUCCAAGUGUAGAGGUGAAAUUCGUAGAUAUUUGGAGGAACACCAGUGGCGAAGGCGGCUCACUGGCUCGAUACUGACGCUGAGGUGCGAAAAGUGUGGGGAGCAAACAGGAUUAGAUACCCUGGGUAGUCCACACCGUAAAACGAUGAAUGCCAGUCGUCGGGUAGCAUGCUAUUC
rnacentral:rRNA from 1 species